rnacentral:rRNA from 1 species
UGCCCCGAGAUGAGUUCUCCCUGACUCCUUGAGAGUCCUGAAGGAACGUUGAAGACGACGACGUUGAUAGGCCGGGUGUGUAAGCGCAGCGAUGCGUUGAGCUAACCGGUACUAAUGAACCGUGAGGCUUAACCUUACAACGCCGAAGGUGUUU